rnacentral:rRNA from 1 species
GAUUAUGACGUACUUGUACUGAUUGAGAUUUUAACACGAAGUGAGUGGCGAACGGGUGAGUAACACGUGGGUAACCUGCCCAGAAGUAGGGGAUAACACCUGGAAACAGAUGCUAAUACCGUAUAACAGAGAAAACCGCAUGGUUUUCUUUUAAAAGAUGGCUCUGCUAUCACUUCUGGAUGGACCCGCGGCGUAUUAGCUAGUUGGUGAGGUAAAGGCUCACCAAGGCAGUGAUACGUAGCCGACCUGAGAGGGUAAUCGGCCACAUUGGGACUGAGACACGGCCCAGACUCCUACGGGAGGCAGCAGUAGGGAAUCUUCCACAAUGGACGCAAGUCUGAUGGAGCAACGCCGCGUGAGUGAAGAAGGGUUUCGGCUCGUAAAGCUCUGUUGUUAAAGAAGAACGUGGGUAAGAGUAACUGUUUACCCAGUGACGGUAUUUAACCAGAAAGCCACGGCUAACUACGUGCCAGCAGCCGCGGUAAUACGUAGGUGGCAAGCGUUAUCCGGAUUUAUUGGGCGUAAAGCGAGCGCAGGCGGUCUUUUAAGUCUAAUGUGAAAGCCUUCGGCUCAACCGAAGAAGUGCAUUGGAAACUGGGAGACUUGAGUGCAGAAGAGGACAGUGGAACUCCAUGUGUAGCGGUGAAAUGCGUAGAUAUAUGGAAGAACACCAGUGGCGAAGGCGGCUGUCUGGUCUGCAACUGACGCUGAGGCUCGAAAGCAUGGGUAGCGAACAGGAUUAGAUACCCUGGUAGUCCAUGCCGUAAACGAUGAUUACUAAGUGUUGGAGGGUUUCCGCCCUUCAGUGCUGCAGCUAACGCAUUAAGUAAUCCGCCUGGGGAGUACGACCGCAAGGUUGAAACUCAAAAGAAUUGACGGGGGCCCGCACAAGCGGUGGAGCAUGUGGUUUAAUUCGAAGCUACGCGAAGAACCUUACCAGGUCUUGACAUCUUCUGACAGUCUAAGAGAUUAGAGGUUCCCUUCGGGGACAGAAUGACAGGUGGUGCAUGGUUGUCGUCAGCUCGUGUCGUGAGAUGUUGGGUUAAGUCCCGCAACGAGCGCAACCCUUAUUACUAGUUGCCAGCAUUAAGUUGGGCACUCUAGUGAGACUGCCGGUGACAAACCGGAGGAAGGUGGGGACGACGUCAAAUCAUCAUGCCCCUUAUGACUGGGGCUA